rnacentral:rRNA from 1 species
GUCUGUGGCCAUGCCACCCUGAAUGCACUCAAUCUCAUCUGAUCUCAGACACUAAGAAAGAUCGGCCUGGUUAGUACUUGGAUGGGAGACUGCGUGGAAAUCCUGGUGCUAUAGGCU